GCUUACGGCCAUACCACCCUGAGCACGCCCGAUCUCGUCUGAUCUCAGAUGCUAAGCAGGGGCGGGCCUGGUUAGUACUUGGAUAGGAGACUGCCUAGGAAUAUCAGGUGCUGUAAGCU
rnacentral:rRNA from 1 species